CUUUCAGAAGGAAUCACGACAUGCCUACGAGGGAGAGACCGUGCUUGUAACCUGGAGGGAGGCAAUUUAGGAACACAAACUAUUUUGGGGGAGCUUUAUCAAUCACAAACUCUUAGUGAACAUCCCUAUCUACUAAUUGUGUGCUGGAUUAU
rnacentral:lncRNA from 12 species